rnacentral:lncRNA from 1 species
ACGCCACAUCUGCCAAUCUCCCCGUGGAUCCGGCUCGGGUGCAUGGCUUCCCCGCGGACAACAUCGGCGCUAGGCGCGGCCGCAGCAAACCCAACGCCAUUGUCGAGUCCGGAAAGAACAGCUAUUCGGUGAUCCUCGCUGGAGUUUCUGUUGCAGUCCUAGGGGCGUUGCAUGCUAGCUCUGGUGCCACUCGUGGCCACUUCAUGCAAGCGCGUUUGCCGGUGCCGUGCUAUUUCCUCCUCGCGUUGAUCCCAAGCCUGGUGGAAUCGCGCCAGUGGGCCCUUGCCUCAGAUGCGCGUCGUUGCUUGCUGCCCACCGCCGUUGGGCAGCGCCACCGUGCCACCCUACCUGUGGCCCACGCUUGUCUCGUCACGGUUCACCGGUAAGCCGCUCCCAGACAGUUCCCUAGACUCUAGGCAUCAUGUCGGUCGCUUCGGAGUAGGGGAUAGGGUAGUAGGUGCGGGUUGGAUAGUCACCAGCGACGUCCGCCGCCGUGUAUGCCCAUGGCGCCACCGUGGUUGGCCACUGGCCGCCGCGUCUGGGCAUAGAAUAAGGAAGAAGGUUGGCGGGCCAUCGAUCUCGCUAUGGGUGGCUAGGAUUAGACGCUUGUACCGGUUCGUCUUGGCUCGAUCUCGACCGUAGAUUGUUGUGUAUGCGGCCACGGUUGGUUUGGGGCUGUUUUAACUCCUGGCCGUCGAUCUCGUGAUACGCGACUCAGGUGUAUUGGUGGGUUGGGAUCUAAUCCGAUCCUUGAAUUCAGGAUCGGAUGGCUUAACUCUACCCGUACCCCUUCGCCGUGGCAUGUUGCUAAAGAGCUCCUGACUUUCUUAAAAAUAAAACCCGCCGUCCACUCGGAUUGUUUACUGAGUCUGAGAAAGUUUAUGAUUUUGCCCCUGCACUUUAUAGAAUUUGAUGCCCAGUUUUGAGAACUAGAAAAUUCAGUAAAAGUAAUUAGAAAAUGAUUUUUAAUAAAAAAACAAUACUAGAAACUUGUAUAAUUCAUAUAUAAUUCAUUUUAGCUCCAAAUUGAGUCAUUCCAGUUGCAAUAAUUUUGUAUUAAUAUUGUCUAUCAACUAGUAACACUGUUUAUCCAUGAAACUUGAAUUAAAAUUAUUUAUUUGGAUUAAUCUAUUCCAAGCACUAAAUAAUUUCGGAAAUUCAUCGUAGCUCCGAAUUUAGUGGUUCUUGUUUCUACGAUCUCGUAACGUCGCGUAGUUUAUUAUUGUGCAGUUGGUGCUUAUGUUUGGUGUAAUGUUAAUUUUGCCUAUACCAUGUUUGUUUGUAUUUCUACGACUAGCGCGAGGUGCGAGUCAUCUGAAGAUCAUCCUGGUACCUGGAAUCUCAAGUCCCAGACAAGUUGUGCCCUUGAUCACUUCUUUUACCCACUCAUGUUCUAAUUAAUCAUAAUGAUCUGCAUAGGUUAAUUUUGAUGGGACCCAAUAGGUUACCCUAAUUUGACUAUCUUUAUACCUUGUUCACCACUGGAUUUUCGGGUAGUACCUGCUAUUGCUUUAUGUGGUUUUGGGUAUAGAGAUACAUUUUAUUCAUGAUUAUCUUUUAUUAUCAGUUAUUAUUUAUUGUUCAUGAUAAGAUCAUUAUGUUAAUUGGAACAUGGAGAACCACCCGGGAAAAUAGUGCUACCACAAGGGUUUAUGGACGCCCUUGGCUAACUAAUCAGGAAAGCUAGUGGAAGACUAUCUUACCCGAAAGGGGCAAGGGCAGUAGGGAGUGGUCAGUGUAGGGAGGUCCUUGGUUGAUUUUGCUGCGAUGGCGGUCAGACAAGAACCCUGCAUUGGAGCUUCCUAUAAACUGUAGCGGGUUUUCUGAAGCUAGUGGAACUUUGUAAAGGCCUCGUAGUGUUACCCUGCCUCGCCUCCUCGGUAGAGGUGUAUGGGAAGUCGCGAUCCCUUGGCAGAUGGGUAACAUGACUUGUGGGUAAAGAUGCGCAACCUCUGCAGAGUGUAAAACUGGUAUACUAGCCGUGCUCACGGUCAUGAGCAGCUCGGGCACUCACAUGAUUAAAUUAUGGAACCUAAACUCAAUUUGUCAUAUGCAUUGCAUCACAGGUGAGGUUGUUACUUUUGUUCUACUACUUAAUUGGGCUGGUAUUUACUUAUACUUAGUAAUUGCUAAUAAUUUUUUGACCAACUUUAAAAGCAAUGCUCAGCUCUAACCAUCCUCUUUGGUAAGCCUUACACUUCACGUGAGCUCCCACCUUUGGCGAGUUCAUACACAUUAUUCCCCACAACUUGUUGAGCGAUGAACGUAUGUGAGCUCACUCUUGCUGUCUCACACCCCCCACAGGUCAAUAAUAGGUACCACAGGAUGAGGCGCGUGGAGGAUGCUGCGAUGUGUUCGUGAGAGGUCUAGGUCGUCGUCUCCCAGUCAACUUUGGGUUGCUGGACCGUUGUCUCCUUAUAAUGUAAUUAUUUAUUUAUCUUGUACAGAACUCCUGUUAUGUAGUAAAGAUGUGACAUUCGAUCAUGUGCCAUGAAUCAUCAUAUGUGUGAGACUUGGUCCCAGCACACCUGGUGAUUAUGUUCGCGCCCGGGUUUUGGACCCCUAAAAUCCGGGUGUGACAGAAGUGGUAUCAGAGGAAUGUUGACUGUAGGACGAAACCUAGAUAGAACUGGACAACCAUUAUCUACUUACCUUUGCUACUCUGAUUCUUUCUAAACUUUUCUUAAUCUUUUCUUAUCUAUUUCCGCUUUACUCUGAUUACUCUUACCUUUUCUCUUCUAAAGACAAAAGUGGGUUUCACACUUUGAAAUCCUGUACCUAAAGUGACCUUUAGGAAUAGGAGACCUACUCGUAGGAACAAAAAAAUCAAAACUAUUUUAGUAAAUAUUGAUAUGCUUGAAUGCUUGUUCUUAUGAUACUUGUUUGAUUUGGAUCUUUGAUUGAGUGUGAUGAGUUGUGGAGUAAUGUCCACAAUUAAAUCUGUAUCUACAAAUAGGCAUAAAGGAUAAUAUUUAUAAAAUAACUAGAUGAACUAGAUUAUCCCUCAUUAAAGUAUGUAGCCUAACAAUAUCCAUCUCAUCUUAAAAGAUUCUAUCCUACACUCAUAGAUCCAUCUCAUCUCAAAAGAUCCUAACUUAUCCUAAUUAAAAUAUAUCUAGCUUAAUAAUCUAUCUUGUCCUUCAAGAUUCUCGCUUAUCUUAAUAGAUUCAACUUAUCUUAAAAGAUUCGUCUUAUCCUAACCACUUUACUUAUCUCAUCCUAGAGUAAUAAACAUGGUCUAAUUCAAAUUUAUUAGAUCUUAUUUAGUCAAAUCUAGUUACGCUAAACUAAUAUAGUUUCCAUCAAAUCUAAACUAACCUAAUGUAACUCACUCAAAUAGGUGAGUUAAUACUUGUGAAAUAGAUUAGACCCUAUCCGCAUGUUUUAACCUAGUUCACUUUGCACUAAAUAAAGAACGACAGACCAACCCAACCAAUAGAGUCUUGAAGGAUUGCAUAAUCUAUCAAACCUCACCUGACAUCAAACCAGUUUGACCUACAUCAUGUAGUCUAUCUCAUCCAUAUCUAUCUUAACCAUAUUCCCCAACCGAUGAUAUACACUAACCAUGAAUCAAUUAGAACAAGACUGGAGAAGAAAAGAUCAACCUCGUCAAGGAAGGAGAGAAGUCAAACUCAAUCUUCACAUGCAUUACCACCCAACACGGAGUUCUUCCUCACCAUAAACAUUCUUACCCCAGGCUAUUCUUGCCCUAACCUACUCAUCUUUUAUCCUACAUAAUAAAAUGACUAUACAUAUAAAUACCCAUGCUCUCUCAAUCACCCACUAUUGACUAAAAUAAAUAAAUAAGACUAUGGAUUAUUAAACCAACUAUAGACUAAAAGCUGGAUUACAAAUUAAUCCUUCUGCAAAUCUCGAGGACGAGAUUAUUUUUAAGGGGGUAGAAUUUGUAACACUCCAAAAUCCUAUUCUUGACAUUUUGAAAAAAAAUCCCAAAAAAAUUAAGUAAAACAAUAUCAUAAUAUAUAGGUUUCCAAAAUGAUUUUUUAUAAAUAAAGAAUCUUAAAUAUUAGUGGCACUCUUAAUUGGACCAUACACUCGAAAUGAUAUUUUGUUAAGGUAUACUGUUUUUGUGUAUGAAUUAUAUAUAUAAAAACAUUUGACUAUACGGAUAUUAUAAAUAAAGGACUUACUCCUUUUUAUGAAUAUUAUUUGUGAAUAAAAUAAUUGAAUAAUACAUAAACAAACUUAUAUCUGCAUCAUGUUGGAUUUUGGGUUGUGCAUUUAAUUUGAAGUUCAAAACUUUAUUUCAAUUUAUAUUAUAUAUAUAUUUAUAUAGAAAUAGAAAAUAGAAAACUAAAAAGAAAAAAAAGAGAGAACGCACUUACCUGCUCGCUUUGGCCCCGCUGGACAUAAUCAUCUUGUCAGGUGCUAGUUCAACGGAGUCUGCGAAACAGAACUUAAAAAAAAAACUCGCUCGUAUCCUUGCGUUAGUUAACAGCCGCAGAUGCUGCCCGGAAAUCUCGCUGGCUAUUCCUGGGUUUGGCCGGAAUCUGGGCGCCGCUUGGGUGUAUAUAUUUGAGGCCCCUUCUCCCUCCAACAAACAGACGCCACAUCUGCCAAUCUCCCCGUGGAUCCGGCUCGGGUGCAUGGCUUCCCCGCUGACAACAUCGGCGCUAGGCGCGGCUGCAGCAAACCCAACGCCAUCGUCGAGUCCGGAAAGAACAGCUAUUCGGUGAUCCUCGCUGGAGUUUCUGUUGCAGUCCUAGGGGCGUUGCAUGCUAGCUCUGGUGCCACUCGUGGCCACUUCAUGCAAGCGCGUUUGCCGGUGCCGUGCUAUUUCCUCCUCGCGUUGAUCCCAAGCCUGGUGGAAUCGCGCCAGUGGGCCCUUGCCUCAGAUGCGCGUCGUUGCUUGCUGCCCACCGCCGUUGGGCAGCGCCACCGUGCCACCCUACCUGUGGCCCACGCUCGUCUCGUCACGGUUCACCGGUAAGCCGCUCCCAGACAGUUCCCUAGACUCUAGGCAUCAUGUCGGUCGCUUCGGAGUAGGGGAUAGGGUAGUAGGUGCGGGUUGGAUAGUCACCAGCGACGUCCGCCGCCGUGUAUGCCCAUGGCGCCACCGUGGUUGGCCACUGGCCGCCGCGUCUGGGCAUAGAAUAAGGAAGAAGGUUGGCGGGCCAUCGAUCUCGCUAUGGGUGGCUAGGAUUAGAUGCUUGUACCGGUUCGUCUCGGCUCGAUCUCGACCGUAGAUUGUUGUGUAUGCGGCCACAGUUGGUUUGGGGCUGUUUUAACUCCUGGCCGUCGAUCUCGUGAUACGCGACUCAGGUGUAUUGGUGGGUUGGGAUCUAAUCCGAUCCCUGAAUUCAGGAUCGGAUGGCUUAACUCUACCCGUACCCCUUCGCCGUGGCAUGUUGCUAAAGAGCCCCUGACUUUCUUAAAAAUAAAACCCGCCGUCCACUCGGAUUGUUUACUGAGUCUGAGAAAGUUUAUGAUUUUGCCCCUGCACUUUAUAGAAUUUGAUGCCCAGUUUUGAGAAUUAAAAAAUUCAGUAAAAGUAAUUAGAAAAUGAUUUUUAAUAAAAAAACAAUACUAGAAACUUGUAUAAUUCAUAUAUAAUUCAUUUUAGCUCCAAAUUGAGUCAUUCCAGUUGCAAUAAUUUUGUAUUAAUAUUGUCUAUCAACUAGUAACACUGUUUAUCCAUGAAACUUGAAUUAAAAUUAUUUAUUUGGAUUAAUCUAUUCUAAGCACUAAAUAAUUUCGGAAAUUCAUCGUAGCUCCGAAUUUAGUGGUUCUUGUUUCUACGAUCUCGUAACGUCGCGUAGUUUAUUAUUGUGCAGUUGGUGCUUAUGUUUGGUGUAAUGUUAAUUUUGCCUAUACCAUGUUUGUUUGUAUUGCUACGACUAGCGCGAGGUGCGAGUCAUCUGAAGAUCAUCCUGGUACCUGGAAUCUCAAGUCCCAGG